AUCAUAUUGUUGUGUCAUCAUGUGUUUGUCUGUGUGCCUGUGUUAGCAAAGCUCUUCGUAUUGAUUUGGGGGUCAUGCAUUCAUUAGUAAUCCUAAAGAACUCAUUAGUCGUCCCUUUUUCCUCUGCAAGAUAGUGAAGAUGAUAAACAUGAACAAGGAAGAGAUGAUGCAUUUACAUGUACUUCUCCUUUAUGACUAGUGAUAUUCACCUGAUACAAAAUCAACUGAAUGCCAAGUCCCACAGUAAAGCUAGUGUCUGAUCCUGAAGCAUCAGUUUAUGACACUGUUGGUGAACAGAUCAACAGAUAU